GAUGAACGCUGGCGGCGUGCCUAAUACAUGCAAGUCGAGCGAACGGACGAGAAGCUUGCUUCUCUGAUGUUAGCGGCGGACGGGUGAGUAACACGUGGAUAACCUACCUAUAAGACUGGGAUAACUUCGGGAAACCGGAGCUAAUACCGGAUAAUAUUUUGAACCGCAUGGUUCAAAAGUGAAAGACGGUCUUGCUGUCACUUAUAGAUGGAUCCGCGCUGCAUUAGCUAGUUGGUAAGGUAACGGCUUACCAAGGCAACGAUGCAUAGCCGACCUGAGAGGGUGAUGGGCCACACUGGAACUGAGACACGGGCCAGACUCCUAAGGGAGGCAGCAGUAGGGAAUCUUCCGCAAUGGGCGAAAGCCAGACGGAGGAACGCCGCGUGAGUGAUGAAGGUCUUCGGAUCGUAAAACUCUGUUAUUAGGGAAGAACAUAUGUGUAAGUAACUGUGCAAAUCUUGACGGUACCUAAUCAGAAAGCCACGGCUAACUACGUG
rnacentral:rRNA from 1 species